rnacentral:rRNA from 1 species
CCUACGGGUGGCAGCAGUGAGGAAUAUUGGUCAAUGGGCGGAAGCCUGAACCAGCCAAGUAGCGUGCAGGAUGACGGCCCUACGGGUUGUAAACUGCUUUUAUACGGGAAUAACGUGCCUUACGUGUAGGGUUUUGCAUGUACCGCAUGAAUAAGGACCGGCUAAUUCCGUGCCAGCAGCCGCGGUAAUACGGAAGGUCCGGGCGUUAUCCGGAUUUAUUGGGUUUAAAGGGAGCGUAGGCCGCAUGUCAAGCGUGCUGUGAAAUGUCCGGACUCAACCCGGGCCUUGCAGCGCGAACUGGCGUGCUUGAGUCCGCGGAAAGCAGGCGGAAUUCGUCGUGUAGCGGUGAAAUGCUUAGAUAUGACGAAGAACCCCGAUUGCGAAGGCAGCUUGCUGCAGCGGAACUGACGCUGAUGCUCGAAAGCGCGGGUAUCGAACAGGAUUAGAUACCCCUGUAGUC